rnacentral:pre_miRNA from 1 species
AUAAAGUUCCUUUGGGUAAGAAGUACUACUUGUCAUCAAAAUGGAUAAAAGGAGAUGUAUCUAGACGUAUUUUAGUUCUAAAUACGUCCCCUUUUAUCCAUUUUGAUGACAAGUAUUUUCGGACGGAGGGAGCUUAUA